rnacentral:lncRNA from 13 species
AGUGAGCUGAGAUCACACCAUUGCAGUCCAGCCUGGCAGCAGAGCCAGACUCCGGCUCAAUAAAUAAGUAAACCUAAACUGACUCAAUUUUCUUUUUCGCUGGCUCAGAAAAGCAGAUUCUCCCUGUCGUCGCAUAUGACGAGUCAACACUUUAGCCUUAUCUGCCAGAAUACUUCAGGUCACGGGUAUUUUUAAAGAACUGGAGAAGGAAGGCACAUUACCCCGUGUUCACACUGCUGGUAAAGACAGACGCAAGGCUGGGAAGGAGAACACGUUUCAUCUGACUUACGGUUCCGCAUAGCGAGGGAGGCCUCAGGCUCACGGUGGGAGGCCAAAAGCACUUCUUACGUGGCGGCAGCACGAGAAAAUGAAGAAGAAGCAAAGGCAGAAAGCCCUGAUAAACCCAUCAGAUCUCGCGAGACUUGCCAACUCCCGCGAGACUUGCCAACUCCCGCGAGACUUGCCAACUCCCGCGAGAAUUGCUCGGGAAAGACUGGCCCUUAUGACUUAAUUACCUCCCCCUGGGUCCUUCCCACAGUAUGUUGGAAUUCUAGGAGAUACAAUUCAAGUUUGGAUUUGGAUGGAGACACGGCCAAACCAUAUCAGAAGAUAAAGGCAGGCUGCAGAAAAGAUGGAGCCUCACUCUGUUGCCCAGACUGGAGUGCAGUGACAUGAUCUCGGUUCACUGCAACCUCCACCUCACAAGUUCAAGUGAUUCUCCUGCCUCAGUCUCCUGAGUGGCUGGGACUACAGGUGCCUGCCACCACGACCAGCUAAUUUUUACAUUUUUAAUAGACAUGGGGUUUCACUAUGUUGGACAGGCUGCUCUCAAAUUCCUGAUCCUCCUGCCUCAGCCUCCCAAAAUGCUGGGAUUACAGAUAUAUCAUCAACCCCUGUUGGUAAUUUUCUCAACUUAUAUCCAGAAUACAAUCACUUAUAAUUCUCUGCCACCAUCUUGGGCUAAGCCACCGUCAUCUUACAUACUGGUUGUUACCGAAGUCUUCCAUAAGGUCUGAAUCAACUGCUGUCUUUCUGUAAAACACCAACAAGCAUCUCGACUAACCUCUUUAACAUGUAAGUCAAAGUGUGUCCCUUCCUUAUCUAAGUACUCUAAGUAGUUUCUUUUCUCGCAUAGAGUAGAAUGCAAGUCCCUACAGAUGCCUGAACGUCCCUCCGUGAUCUGAUGCCUACCUUCCCUUCCUUUCUCACCACUUCCCUGCUUCCUCAUCUUACUUUUGCUGCAGUGGCCCUUUGCUAUUUCUCAUGUGUGCUACGUAGCCCUGCGUGAAUUCACCUCAGAACCUUUCCAUGUUCUUUCCUCCUCUGUGCAGAGGUGUUACUCACUUCCAAGUGUCACCUCAAUGUGGAUAUCUUCCAUAAUUUUCUUAUAUAAAACAAUGAACCAGACCAGGUACAGUGGCUUACACCUGUAAUCUCAGCAAUUUGGAAGGCCAAGUCGGGAGGAUUGCUUGAGCUGAGGAGUUCGAGACUAGCUUGGGCGACAUAGCACAACCCCCAUCUCCACAAAAAAGAUACAAAAAUUAGCCUGGUGUGGUGGCAUGCGCCUGUGGUCCCAGCUACUCAGGAGGUUGAGGUGGUAGGAUCGAUUGAGCCCAGGAAGCAGAGGCUGCAGUGAGCUGAGGUCGCACCAAUGCUCAGCCCCGGUGACAGAGUGAGACCUCAUCUCAAUACAAAUAAUCAUAAAUAAAUAAAUAAUAAAACUUUUGCUCCA